UCUUUGAUGUCAGAGCCUCCUCACUGCCUUUGCUGCUCUUGCCGUCUGCCGAAAGUGCUCUCUGGCAAAUGGAAUUCAGAGCUUCCUUCUCUUCACUUGAAUUUUUUAGCUGUGCAAUUUGAGAUUCUAGUUCCUCUAUAUACUUAUCACUUCGUUCCAGGGCUUUCUUGAGGCGAUUGGUUUCACGUUCAUACUGUUCUACCUUGGACUGAAGAGCAGCCACGGUAAACCUUCCGAACCUGCAAGGGACAAAGAGAUAGAGAGAAAGCCAUCAGAAACAGCAAUGGCCAGCAGCAGCGUAUACGUGAGUGGGAGAAGUAAGCAGCAGAAGUCACUGAUGAUGUCAGCUGUUUUCUAGAAGAUCACCGCUCAAAAUUCCACUUCAAUACUUUGCAAGUCUAUAAUACUUUGAGUGAUCAGACCUUUUUACCAUGCUAAUAAGAGUACACGCUUCAAGAAAGCAGGGAAUGUGGCUGGCUCCCCAGUACAAGUCCCCAGAGGCCCUAGACUUGCCAGAGGAACUUGGGAGAAGCAUGUAUUGACAUAAAUAAGAAAACAGUUUUGACAAGAAGGAUAAAGAUGUCUAAGGGAAGUGACAGGCUGGCAAAAUAGCUUUACAUUGAAGCAAUAUGGAAAAAUAUCACAACACUGGAAGCACAAAGGAAAAAAACGUUUGAUGCUGAUGGAAGUGUAGGAAUGUGACAAAAUUCAUCAAGGCAUUAGAAGAGAUGCUAGCUUUGUGUCAUGAGCCAUACGAUGAGAAGACUCCCGAGGAAUGUAUUUUCUUUACUUUAAACAGAGGGGAAGCAGAGUUUCAGAGGGAAGUGCUUUCUGUUGUACAGGUCUAAGAGGAAUAAAGGACUUUCUACCUCUUCCAAAAUGUAAUAACCUUUACAACAACAACAACAACAUCUCAAUAGUGUAAAAGAAUAUACAACUAUUGUUAGGUAAGAAACAAGCUUACUUAAAAAUCUCUGGAUUUGGAAAUUAUAUAUAUGUAUCUUCAAAGGAUAUAUACAUACUUCUCACUAAAAUCUGUUUCUCCUUCCCACCUCAGCAUGAGUGACACUAAAACAAAAUUAUAAACUGUGAUCCAGUCACCCUGUCAUAACUACUCAGAUGACAGUUAAUGAGGAUACUGUAUGCUAAGGGAGGCUGAGGACGGAAAACAAAAGGAGUAGCAGGCAUUACCCUUGUUCUGAGCACUUCAUAAUCUUUCUGACAACCU